GGGGAAUUUUGGACAAUGGGCGAAAGCCUGAUCCAGCCAUGCCGCGUGAGUGAAGAAGGCCUUCGGGUUGUAAAGCUCUUUUAGUCGGAAAGAAAGAGUCGCAAUGAAUAAUUGUGAUUUAUGACGGUACCGACAGAAAAAGCACCGGCUAACUACGUGCCAGCAGCCGCGGUAAUACGUAGGGUGCGAGCGUUAAUCGGAAUUACUGGGCGUAAAGGGUGCGCAGGCGGUUUUGCAAGUCAGAUGUGAAAGCCCCGGGCUUAACCUGGGAAUUGCGUUUGAAACUACAAGGCUAGAGUGCAGCAGAGGGGAGUGGAAUUCCAUGUGUAGCAGUGAAAUGCGUAGAGAUGUGGAAGAACACCGAUGGCGAAGGCAGCUCCCUGGGUUGACACUGACGCUCAU
rnacentral:rRNA from 1 species